AAAACUUUCAACAACGGAUCUCUUGGUUCCGGCAUCGAUGAAGAACGCAGCGAAAUGCGAUAAGUAAUGUGAAUCGCAGAAUUCAGUGAAUCAUCGAAUCUUUGAACGCACAUUGCGCCCCUUGGUAUUCCGAGGGGCAUACCUGUUCGAGCGUCAUUGCACCCCUCACGCCCCCCCCCCUUCUGGGGGCGUGGUCUUG
rnacentral:rRNA from 1 species